GGCAUUAUAGCCAAGUGGUUACGGCGACAGAUUCGAAUGAGUUGUUAUCUGUUCCUCUUUGAGGGCGUAGGUUCAAAUCCUACUGAUGUCG